AGAAUCAACGCUGGCGGCGUGCCUAACACAUGCAAGUCGAACGAGAAAGCGGAGCAAUCCAUGAGUAAAGUGGCGCACGGGUGAGUAACACGUGACUAACCUACCCUUGAGUGGGGGAUAACCUAGGGAAACCUGGGCUAAUACCGCAUAAUACCUUCGGGUCAAAGGAGCAAUUCGCUUAAGGAGGGGGUCGCGGCCGAUUAGUUAGUUGGCGGGGUAAUGGCCCACCAAGACUGUGAUCGGUAU
rnacentral:rRNA from 1 species